rnacentral:rRNA from 1 species
CCUACGGGUGGCAGCAGUGGGGAAUAUUGGACAAUGGGCGAAAGCCUGAUCCAGCCAUGCCGCGUGUGUGAAGAAGGCCUUCGGGUUGUAAAGCACUUUCAGUGGGGAAGAAAGCCUUGGGGCUAAUACCCUCGAGGAAGGACAUCACCCACAGAAGAAGCACCGGCUAACUCCGUGCCAGCAGCCGCGGUAAUACGGAGGGUGCGAGCGUUAAUCGGAAUUACUGGGCGUAAAGCGCGCGUAGGCGGUCUGAUAAGCCAGUUGUGAAAGCCCCGGGCUCAACCUGGGAACGGCAUCCGGAACUGUCAGGCUAGAGUGCAGGAGAGGAAGGUAGAAUUCCCGGUGUAGCGGUGAAAUGCGUAGAGAUCGGGAGGAAUACCAGUGGCGAAGGCGGCCUUCUGGACUGACACUGACGCUGAGGUGCGAAAGCGUGGGUAGCAAACAGGAUUAGAUACCCUAGUAGUC